CGCCCCCGGCAGUGGGAAGGGGCCGGGCCAGCUGCCUGACGUCUGUGCUGGGCUCGGAAAAUGGCUGCGGAGCCGAGCACCGGGCAGUGGCGGCGGCGGCGGCGGGCGGGGAGCGCCGCGGGCGGGGGCUCCGCCUUGCGCGUGGGGCGCUGAGCCGAGAGGCGCGGAGGAGGCGAGGGCGCGCUGGGGGCUUGGGGCCGCUCGGCGCCGCCUCCCCGCCACCCGCCGCACCAUGGGCAGCGCAGAGGACGCAGUCAAAGAGAAACUGCUCUGGAACGUGAAAAAGGAGGUGAAGCAAAUCAUGGAGGAGGCUGUCACCAGGAAGUUUGUGCAUGAAGAUAGCAGCCACAUCAUUGCUCUGUGUGGUGCUGUGGAGGUUUGCCUUCUGCAUCAGCUGAGACGCCGUGCCGCUGGCUUCCUGCGCAGUGACAAGAUGGCGGCCCUGUUCACCAAGGUGGGGAAGACGUGCCCAGUGGCUGGGGAGAUUUGCCACAAGGUACAGGAGCUGCAGCAACAAGUAGAGGGCAGGAAGGCCUCAGGGGUCAGCCAAGAGGCCCUGCGAAGACAAGCCUCUGCCAGCGGGAAGGCCCCGGCCCUCAGCCCACAGGCCUUGAAACACGUGUGGGUACGCACAGCGCUCAUUGAGAAAGUGCUGGACAGGGUUGUGCAGUACCUGGUGGAGAACUGCAGCAAGUACUAUGAGAAGGAGGCGUUACUGGCAGACCCUGUGUUUGGCCCCAUCUUGGCCUCUCUUCUAGUGGGACCCUGUGCCUUGGAGUACACCAAGCUCAAGACAGCCGAUCACUACUGGACGGAUCCCUCUGCUGACGAGCUGGUCCAGAGGCACCGUAUCCGGGGUCCCCCUAAUCGCCAGGACUUCCCUGCAAAGCGCCCUGCCCUAGGAAUCCGGAAGCGUCACUCAAGUGGCAGCUCUGCAGAAGACAGAUUGGCUGCCUGUGCCCGCGAGUAUGUGGAGUCCCUACACCAGAACUCGAGGACGCGGCUGCUCUAUGGCAAGAACAACGUGCUGGUGCAGCCGAAGGAGGACAUGGAGGCUGUCCCUGGCUACCUCUCCCUUCACCAGUCUGCAGAGAGCCUAACUCUGAAGUGGACCCCCAACCAGCUCAUGAACGGGACUCUGGGGGACUCCGAGCUGGAAAAGAGUGUUUACUGGGACUAUGCCCUCGUUGUGCCCUUCAGUCAGAUUGUCUGCAUCCACUGCCACCAGCAAAAGAGCGGCGGCACGCUUGUGCUGGUGAGCCAGGAUGGCAUCCAGAGGCCACCGCUGCACUUCCCACAGGGAGGACACCUGCUGUCCUUUCUGUCUUGCCUGGAGAAUGGGCUUCUGCCUCGAGGACAGCUAGAGCCCCCGCUCUGGACCCAGCAGGGGAAGGGUAAGGUGUUCCCCAAGCUGCGGAAGCGCAGCAGCAUGCGGUCCGUGGACAUGGAGGAGAUGGGCGUGGGGCGGGCCGCAGACUACGUGUUCCGGAUCAUUUACCCUGGCCACAGGCACGAGCACAUCACUAUUAACUACCACCACCUAGCGGCCAGCCGCGCGGCCUCGGUGGACGAUGAUGAGGAAGAGGAGGAUAAACUACACGCGAUGCUCUCAAUGAUCUGCUCGCGGAACCUCACAGCUCCCAAUCCGAUGAAAGAUGCUGUCGACAUGAUCGAGAUGCAGGGCUUUGGGCCCAGCCUGCCAGCCUGGCACCUGGAGCCCCUGUGCAGCCAGGGCUCCUCCUGCCCCUCCUGCUCCACCAGCAGCUCCCCAUAUGCAACCCCCAGUCACUGCAGCUGUGUCCCCGACCGGUUGCCACUCAGGCUACUGUGUGAGAGCAUGAAGAGGCAGAUUGUGUCCCGAGCCUUCUAUGGCUGGCUGGCCUACUGCCGCCACCUAUCCACGGUGCGGACCCACCUGUCAGCACUGGUGCAUCACAACAUCAUCCCGCCCACCUGGCCCCCAGGGGCCUCUGGGGGCCUCACCAAGGAUGUGUGGAGCAAGUAUCAGAAGGAUGAAAAGAACUACAAAGAGCUGGAGCUGCUACGGCAAGUUUACUACGGAGGCGUGCAGCAUGAGAUCCGCAAGGACGUCUGGCCCUUUCUGCUUGGCCACUACAAGUUUGGCAUGAGCAAGAAGGAGAUGGAAGAGGUGGACUCAGCGGUGGCAGCGAGGUACCAGCGCGUGUUGGCAGAGUGGAAGGCCUGCGAGGUGGUGGUGAGGCAGCGGGAGCGGGAGGCUCACCCAGCCACACUCACCAAGUUCUCCUCAGGCAGCAGCAUCGACAGCCACGUGCAGCGCCUCAUCCACCGAGAUUCCACCAUCAGUAAUGACGUGUUUAUCUCUGUGGAUGACCUGGAACCCCCAAGGCCCCCAGGCACUGAAGAUUCCAGACCAGAGCCCGAGCAAGAACCAGGAGCAGGGUCCCCGGGCACCGCGGUGGUGGAACAGCAGCAGUCAGUGGAGUUUGACUCUCCCGACUCAGGACUGCCUUCCUCUCGCAAUUACUCUGUGACCUCAGGCAUCCAGUCGAGCAUAGAUGAGGGGCAGAGUGUGGGCUUUGAGGAGGAUGGCGGUGGGGAAGAAGGCUCUGAUGGGUCAGUUCCUGCAGCCCACGCUUUCUCCGAGCCCCAAGAUCCCAACCAGGAGAAGACCUCGCGGCCCAGCGAGCUGGAGGCAGGGGAGGAGCUUGCGGCUGUUUGUGCUGCUGCCUACACUAUAGAAAUACUGGACACUGUGGCCUUAAAUCUGCACCGCAUAGACAAGGAUGUGCAGCGAUGUGACCGCAACUACUGGUACUUCACGCCCCCCAACCUCGAGAGGCUCAGAGACAUCAUGUGCAGAUCAGCUGGCCUACAGCUGUUUCAGCCACCUCAUGAAGAGGAUGAGCCAGAACUUCCCCAAUGGGGGCGCCAUGGACACCCACUUUGCCAACAUGCGCUCCCUCAUCCAGAUCCUGGACUCAGAACUGUUUGAACUGAUGCAUCAGAACGGAGACUACACCCACUUCUACUUCUGUUACCGCUGGUUCCUGCUGGAUUUUAAGAGAGAGCUGCUGUAUGAGGAUGUGUUUGCUGUGUGGGAGGUGAUCUGGGCAGCCCGGCACAUCUCAUCGGAACACUUUGUCCUGUUCAUCGCUCUGGCCCUGGUGGAGGCCUAUCGUGAGAUUAUCCGUGACAACAACAUGGACUUCACUGACAUCAUCAAGUUCUUCAAUGAACGGGCUGAGCAUCACGAUGCCCAGGAGAUCCUGCGGAUUGCCCGGGACCUCGUCCACAAGGUGCAGAUGCUCAUAGAGAACAAGUGAGGGCUGUGGCCAGGAGGCAGCAGCCGGCCAGAGCCAGGGCUCCGGGCCCCUGGGUCCCUGCAGGGAGCGUGCACAGGGGCAGUGCAGCUGAGUCUGCCCCAACUCCCAGCUGAUCCUCACCUGACUGUGUUCCUAACAAAGUGCUUGUGAGCCUGGGAUCCGACUCUGGGCAGUGCUGGCCCUGCAGGGCGAGUUGGGGCCAGGAUGCCCUCAGGUCAAGGUUGGGAUAGGAGGGAUCGGCUUCAGGGAGCGACUGCUUUGGGGGAUACCUACUGUGCUCUCCACUCAAAUGCCCGGGAAUAGCCCCACUGCCCCCUGCAGCCUCAACCUAGACUGUUCCCCAUGGCCUCUUCCAGGUCAGCCCGGGGCCCUGCAGCGUUAGCAGGGCUGUAGUUGCCUAGACCCCACCUGGCGAGAGUUGUGUUGGGUCAGGGGACUCUGUGCUGUAUCUCUCCUGAGAGUCCCUUUGCAGGCCCAGUGCAUGUCUGUGCACCAGCCCCAGUUGGGGCAGUCAGAACUGCUGCCAGUUCAGGCUUGCGCCCUAGGUGUAGGAGACCUGGGCCACCUUACAGGUCCUCCCCUAAGACCGGGGGGCAUUCAGAAGAUGGGACCCUGGGUGGGAACAGGCCACCUCAGCAGCACUGCCACUGCCUUUGGCCACCUGGGGUGACCCCAUGCACGCCCAGCCCAUACAGUGCACCCGCGUGUGUCUGCACAGUCUCACUCCUGCCACCUCGCUCUUGCUUUAUGCAUUAGAUGCAUCCCUACAAACUGUGUGUAAAUGACGCUUUUGCCAGAUGGAUGAUCUGGAAUGUGGUAGGAGCAUUUGCUCUCAAGGAAUCCCAGGGUGAUUCUUUAGGGAGGCAGUCCUGUCACAGCCUCCUCUCAGGAACAGGCCCCAGAGUUUAGGGGCAGCCCAUUGCCUAUCCCAGGCAUCUGCUGAGUCCCUGAGGCUUUGGGGGUGGUUACCUGUGUCUCCCGUUUGUCCCUGGUGAGAAGCAAGGCUAGCUCUGCCUUCCACACAUUUCUCAGGAUGUCGAGAGGCCUUGGGAGCUGGGAACUCCCCUGGAGGAGCCUCACUCAUGGGGAUGCUAGGAAGGGCCCAGCCCCGGACCCUAGGCCCAGGAACACUGCUUGCUGUCAUUCCUACCUCCCUUCCCCUCAACACAUUCAGGGUAGGCCUUGCUUUGGGGCCAGGAGGCCACUCUGCCACUGGGGCUGGGGCCUGCCUAGCAGUCACUAAGGUCUGGAGACUUCUUGCAUUUAAGAAACAUGAAAAAUGGCCCAGCAGCCCUUCUGCAUCCAGCACAGCUCCCAGCCCACCUCUGUCCCAGGCACUGCACGCCUGUUUGUGGGCCAACCCACCUGCCCUAUUGCCCUCCCGUCGUCGUCUGUGAGUCCUUGGCCUCCACCAAAGCACGGUGGCCAUUGUGUCCCUGCCUUAGUGACUCAGUGGUUUUGUGAGGAGCAGAGUGUGUAUGUAUGUUUUUUGGCUCAGAAACUAUACUCUUCAAUGUAACAGACCAAUAAACACAGCAUUUGGCAAUGC